GAGUGCAGAGGGGUCAUCAUAGCUCACAGCAACUUCAAAGUCCUGGACUCAAACGAUUGAUCUGUCUCAGCCCUCCCAGGGACUACAGAAAUGAUGAAUGUUCUGCAAAACAAAGGAGUUGAGAUUCUGAAGACCCCUGGCCAAGAUUCCUGUUGCCAAGAAUCACCAUCUCUGACAUGACCUGCCCCAAGAGAUGGGAUCUGGCUGUGUUGCUCAGGCUGGAAUGCAG